GGAAGGAUCAUUAAUUGAAUGAACAUGUUUCUCUGCAUGACAUUUCAAACCCCACCUGUGUAUCUUUCCUGUUGCUUCCGUGCUGCACAUGCUGCAAAGGUGUGCCUCUCCUGGUCUGGAGUUACCGCCGAGUACUUUGGACCCUGGGGUGGAGUCGGCACGGAAGGUCUACCGCAAACUCGUGUCGUGCAAUGCCUUCUGUCUGAACUGUAGCACAAUAAAAGUUAAAACUUUCAACAACGGAUCUCUUGGUUCUCGCAUCGAUGAAGAACGCAGCGAAAUGCGAUAAGUAGUGUGAAUUGCAGAAUUCCGUGAAUCAUCGAAUCUUUGAACGCACAUUGCGCCUCCUGGUAGUCCGGGAGGCAUGCCUGUUUGAGCGUCACCAAAUCCAACUCAAGCGGUUUUGCGCUUGGUCGUGGCGGAAGAGUCGGUCUGGUUGCCGUCUCCCCUCCGAAAAUCAACGGCGGAAAGUCACUGGCAGUCAGCGUAGUAGUAUCGUUCGCCGAACAUCCAGUGGCAUUCCUGCCGACGUACCCCCACAAUUCUCGUGAUUGACCUCGGAUCAGG
rnacentral:rRNA from 1 species